UACGCGCAAGCGAAGCGCUUAAGCCCGCUCACGUCGCACGUCCCGUUCGAGCGGCGCGCGAGCUCGGCGCACGUGUCGCGCGGCCGCUCGCUGUGCGCGCUCUGCCGCGGCUACUGGCGCGCCCUCUGCCAGCGCCUGCCCGCUUACAUCACUAGAGACUGUGGUGGGCACGCUAGCUUGCAAGCGCAAGCCGUCGUGUCGCCCGCCGCGCUGUCCCGGCGGCUGCAAGCCCAAGUACUGGUGAAGUGGCUCUGGGCUCUGGACUUGCUUCGGAUUCGACGAUAUCGAACAUUAUGUUGGUGCCAGGCAACCUGUGCUGGUGGAUAGCCUGGUGUAUCCUCAGCGUGCUGAGUCUGGCUCAAGGUUGUAAGAAGCGAACUAUUUGCCGCCCACCGCCGGACGGCCGGCCCGGCUGCGGCGGCCGGUGACGCGCCACAGACUAUCCGCAAUCAGUGUUGCUAUCAAAAUAAUCGUUCAAUCUCAGAAUAAUCAUUAAAUCUCUAACCAUUCAAUCUCAGAAAAAUAAUUCAAUCUGUAUAAA